AGAUGCCAUUUGUGGGCAGCUCCAGUGCCAGACAGGUAGGACCCAGCCUCUGCUGGGCUCCAUCCAGGAUCUACUCUGGGAGACAAUAGAUGUGAAUGGGACUGAGCUGAACUGCAGCUGGGUGCACCUGGACCUGGGCAGUGAUGUGGCCCAGCCCCUCCUGACUCUGCCUGGCACAGCCUGUGGCCCUGGCCUGGUGUGUAUAGACCAUCGAUGCCAGCGUGUGGAUCUCCUGGGGGCACAGGAAUGUCGAAGCAAAUGCCAUGGACAUGGGGUCUGUGACAGCAACAGGCACUGCUACUGUGAGGAGGGCUGGGCACCCCCUGACUGCACCACUCAGCUCAAAGCAACCAGCUCCCUGACCACAGGGCUGCUCCUCAGCCUCCUGGUCUUAUUGGUCCUGGUGAUGCUUGGUGCCAGCUACUGGUACCGUGCCCGCCUGCACCAGCGACUCUGCCAGCUCAAGGGACCCACCUGCCAGUACAGGGCAGCCCAAUCUGGUCCCCCUGAACGGCCAGGACCUCCGCAGAGGGCCCUGCUGGCACAAGGCACUAAGGCUAGUGCUCUCAGCUUCCCGGCCCCCCCUUCCAGGCCGUUGCCGCCUGACCCUGUGUCCAAGAGACUCCAGUGGUGCUCUUCAUUAGGUGAUCGGGGUGCCCCUCAGCCUUCAGACACUCUGAGCCCCAGAAGCAGCAAAGGUCUCAGGGGCCAGCCAAGCCCCCACCCCCAAGGAAGCCAUUGCCUGCCGACCCCCAGGGCCGGUGCCCAUCGGGUGACCUGCCCGGCCCAGGGGCUGGAAUCCCGCCCCUAGUGGUACCCUCCAGACCAGCGCCACCGCCCCCGACAGUGUCCUCGCUCUACCUCUGACCUCUCCGGAGGUUCCGCUGCCUCCAAGCCGGACUUAGGGCUUCAAGAGGCGGGCGUGCCCUCUGGAGUCCCCUACCAUGACUGAAGGCGCCAGAGACUGGCGGUGUCUUAAGGCUCCGGGCACCGCCACGCGCUGUCAAGCAACACUCUGCGGACCUGCCGGCGUAGUUGCAGCGGGGGCUUGGGGAGGGGCUGGGGGUUG
rnacentral:sRNA from 1 species